CAGCCCUCGACCCACUAUUCGCGUAGCUGGAUCGGUGUUGGGGCACUACGGUGGAAUACCCGUAGGCUCCGAAAUGAAGUGGCGGUCCCGCCGCGGCGCCCCCAUGCGUAGUAACAUCUGCCUCGCAUCGGGAGCCCCCGGGCUAUCCGGCCUCUAAACCCCCCUCAAGCCCGCUCCGGCGGCACCAA
rnacentral:misc_RNA from 1 species